rnacentral:rRNA from 1 species
AGUGAACGCUGGCGGUAGGCCUAACACAUGCAAGUCGAACGGCAGCACAGGAGAGCUUGCUCUCUGGGUGGCGAGUGGCGGACGGGUGAGGAAUACAUCGGAAUCUACUUUUUCGUGGGGGAUAACGUAGGGAAACUUACGCUAAUACCGCAUACGACCUACGGGUGAAAGCAGGGGACCUUCGGGCCUUGCGCGAUUGAAUGAGCCGAUGUCGGAUUAGCUAGUUGGCGGGGUAAAGGCCCACCAAGGCGACGAUCCGUAGCUGGUCUGAGAGGAUGAUCAGCCAGCCGGGAACUGAGACACGGUCCAGACUCCUACGGGAGGCAGCAGUGGGGAAUAUUGGACAAUGGGCGCAAGCCUGAUCCAGCCAUACCGCGUGGGUGAAGAAGGCCUUCGGGUUGUAAAGCCCUUUUGUUGGGAAAGAAAUCCAGCUGGCUAAUACCCGGUUGGGAUGACGGUACCCAAAGAAUAAGCACCGGCUAACCUCGUGCCAGCCGCCGCCGUAA